rnacentral:lncRNA from 12 species
GUGCAAAACAACACACUUCUUUAAAAAGCGACCAACCACGACAGCAUGAUCCACGGCUAAGGCCAAUGUCCUCAGUCCAACCCUGCGAGUUCGUGUAAAUGCAGCCUUAAGUACAUUCACAUAAAGACGAUACUACGGCCGAUGGCUGUCCCGUCGUGGGGACUUAAAGGACAGCAUUAAAAAUCACACACACGCUUGCAGGAACCGCCAACGCCCGCUGCUGUGACAGUUACAGCCCCUCCUCUCAAAAGAUUGAGGGGCACGAAGCCGUGCAUCAUCCCAGCACAAAGGUCGGGGAACAUAUUUGAAAUCAGAACAAGUGGGGUUUUCAGUUUUCACCCCGGAGGCAGAAGCAGGAGCCUGUUGUCCCAGGCGGGAAUGAAGUCUGAGCGAGGAGACCACAGGCCUCCUGACAUCUGCGCUUCUGCUCACGGUUCAGAAAGUUCUGGAGGCUUGCUCCUUAGGGUUAAGGACUGAAGAGGCGCCGGCAGAGGGAACGUGGGGAUGUUCGCAGGGUUUGCACGGGAGCAUGAAACCCCCGACGGUGGGUCCUGGGCUGGUCCCAGUCCCCAGAAGUGGGAGAGCACAGGACACUUGGAGGAGCCCUGAUGGAGAGAGGUGGGCCGGACGGUGGGCUCCGUGGGUGAGGAGGGUCCCCACGCCACCUGGGGUUCUGCAAAACCCACCCGUGGUUGGGGGGGGCAGAUGCGCACACCCCUGGGGCCAGGGCUCAGCAGGGCGCGGGCUCCUGCCCUGGGGGUAUGUCCUGCUGCCACCCAGGGGCACAGUCUAGUGACCUCAGGACCAAAAAGCGCCCCCCACCCCUGCCAACCGAAGGCUGCAGUUGUAUACGCUGCGGCCCCUUCUCCAGAGCCAAGUGUCCAGUCUGGACAGGAGGCCCCGCGAUGCACAAGGAAAAACACAUAUGGGCGCGACUUGCCCGCCGCACCUGUGCCCGGUGUGCUCCCCUGUCCGGCGGGCCGGCCUCCAGCCUCCGCCGGGCCUCCCUGUCCCGCGGGACCACCCGGAACCACGAGCACAGCACCUGCAGCGACAGCGCCUGGACCAGCCGGCGCACGGCGAGGACCAGCGCGAUGCCCACCGCGAACUUGGUGAGGCUCAGCGCCAGCCCCGCGGCCAAGGCCGAGAGCCAGGGCGGGAGCCGGGGCGGGAGCGGCGGGAGGCGGAGGCCCGGGGGGC